UACGUAGGGGGCAAGCGUUGUCCGGAAUUAUUGGGCGUAAAGCGCGCGCAGGCGGUUGAUUAAGUUUGGUGUUUAAGCCCGGGGCUCAACCCCGGAUCGCACUGAAAACUGGUCGACUUGAGUGUAGGAGAGGAAAGUGGAAUUCCACGUGUAGCGGUGAAAUGCGUAGAGAUGUGGAGGAACACCAGUGGCGAAGGCGACUUUCUGGCCUAUAACUGACGCUGAGGAGCGAAAGCGUGGGGAGCGAACAGG
rnacentral:rRNA from 1 species